rnacentral:lncRNA from 1 species
CUCGGAAAGUGAAACCCGGGGCUGAGGCGGGCACUUCCCGGCGGUCACGUGGGGCGCGGCGCGGCGCGGCGCAGCUCUUCGCUCCGGCGCGCCUGUGCAGUGCGGAGGCCGCGGGUACGCAGCGACCUUUGACCUUGCCGAGUGCGGACUCGAGCGGCGGCGCGCCCCCUGCCGCCGGGGGGCCGCCGCGCCCCUCCCCCUCCGGGCCCGGCUGCGCCUCUGCUCCCCCGGGCGCUGGAUCGGGGCCGCGGGCCGGCCCUCCGGAGCCAGCGGUGCCAGGCCGCGGUGCGGGGACCACCAGUGCCGCGCACGGUUGUUUUAAUCACUUCACAGGACAAAAAUUUGCUGGUGUUACCAAAGAAGCUACCAUCUCUUCUUCAUAACAAGCCUUGGGGAUGUCCUUGUCUUUCUAAAUUAGAGGCCAACCUUUCACUCAGAUCUCACGUGUCCAAAGCAUUGCUCGGAGUUAUGCAGCUGAGUCACUUGGUACAGAAGAGAAGCUGUAAGUAUCUAUCUACAGAACAUACAUUAUUGCUCUCUGCGCCUGGUUGAGUGAAUACAAAGCAAUACUUGCUUUGCCACUCCUCUCCCUGCCAGCUUUGCUCUUUUAUUUUGGUUUUGGAACUUUUUCCCACUGUUUAGGUGAUGUCUGGGAUCUGACCCAGGAUCUUAAAUGACUCAAAAUCCUUACAGACCUGUUAACUUGCCUGAUACAAGAUUAUUUUGGCCUACACCUACUGAAAUGAGGCAAAGUAAUCUUGCCAAACUCCAUCAAGCGACGCUACUAGUAACCUCACAAAGGAAGUCCCUAUCCUGAUCUGGCAAGGUACUCUUGAGGAGGAACGCAUUUUCUUCCCUGGUCCUUUGCCUCAUUUGUUCCACAGGCCAGAUCAACGACACUUACUGGCCAGGUCACUGUUUAACAUUUCUUUUAUCUUCAUCAAUGAACGAGGCCCUAUGACUCCCGUGCACACCAUCCAAACCUUGAAUACAGAAUUAUAGGUAUUUCUGUUGCACGCACAAGUGUUUCCCAG